rnacentral:rRNA from 1 species
GACGAACGCUGGCGGCGUGCUUAACACAUGCAAGUCGAACGGAAAGGCCCCUUUGGGGGUACUCGAGUGGCGAACGGGUGAGUAACACGUGAGUAACCUGCCCUUGACUUCGGGAUAACUUCAGGAAACUGGGGCUAAUACCGGAUAGGAAUCCUUGCUGCAUGGUGGGGGAUGGAAAGCUUCGGCGGUUUUGGAUGGACUCGCGGCUUAUCAGCUUGUUGGUGGGGUAGUGGCUUACCAAGGCUUUGACGGGUAGCCGGCCUGAGAGGGCGACCGGCCACAUUGGGACUGAGAUACGGCCCAGACUCCUACGGGAGGCAGCAGUGGGGAAUAUUGCACAAUGGGCGGAAGCCUGAUGCAGCAACGCCGCGUGCGGGAUGACGGCCUUCGGGUUGUAAACCGCUUUCAGCAGGGGCGAAGCUUGUGGUGACGGUACCUGCAGAAGAAGCACCGGCUAACUACGUG